GAACAGUCUGUAUCAUGAACAGUGCUGGUCCCCAUAGAGGUCUGAACAGUCUGUAUCAUGAACAGUGCUGGUCCCCAUAGAGGUCUGAACAGUCUGUAUCAUGAACAGUGCUGGUCCCCAUAGAGGUCUGAACAGUCUGUAUCAUGAACAGUGCUGGUCCCCAUAGAGGUCUGAACAGUCUGUAUCAUGAACAGUGCUGGUCCCCAUAGAGGUCUGAACAGUGCUGGUCCCCAUAGAGGUCUGAACAGUCUGUAUCAUGAACAGUGCUGGUCCCCAUAGAGGUCUGAACAGUCUGUAUCAUGAACAGUGCUGGUCCCCAUAGAGGUCUGAACAGUCUGUAUCAUGAACAGUGCUGGUCCCCAUAGAGGUCUGAACAGUCUGUAUCAUGAACAGUGCUGGUCCCCAUAGAGGUCUGAACAGUCUGUAUCAUGAACAGUGCUGGUCCCCAUA